CUAGUUAAGAGCAGGUAUAAUCACCAGAUUGAGAUCAAUAACAUAUAAAUUCAAAUUGCUUAACUUCAGUAACAUGACUAUUGUUGAAAACUCUUGGAAUCCAUGGAACCAGCAUUUGCUAAGGAAGAGAAUCUCAAAAGGAGCAUUUGACACUUGUGUGAGUGACAACAGCAAGAUGGUGAUAUGGGUCACUACCAACUUCUGUCCCACUAACAAGAAGACCAAAUAGCAACUAUGCAUAAACAAGACAACAUUGUGAAAAUCAUAAAACACAGAGGUGAGGCUGAAGCACCAUUUAACCAGAGACAGAGAGAGAUUGCUUAAGAAAGGUAAGAGGAGCAGCUACUCACUGACUCCAAUGCCCCUCCCCCAGGCCAGCACAACAUAACACAGAGAGAGAUCCCUGGGCCUAUCGUUUCUCUAGUGAGCAAAAGACAACUCAAAUGUUAUUUCCUGGGAAGCUCACUUAGGUCUCGCUUCACCGGGAUGGAGAGGUGAAUCUGUGGGGCUUGACCACAUAAGAUUGUGACAGAGAAAGUGAGGGGUUUGGACCAUUAGUGUUUACAUCUUGACAGACUGAGUUCCUAUUUGAAGGAACACUCAAAUGUCUCAACCAGUGGUUUUGACUAUUUACAGAACCAAGAUGGUAGCCCCAUCCUUCUAGGGGACUUGGGGAAAAAUUCUACCUCAUUCGGGACUCCAAAUAAUAAGUCUUGCUGGACUUAGGGCCUGUUUUAGCCAGCCUGGGUAGUGGGAAAACAAAUUUAUAUGCAUGCCUAGUUCUGAGCCCCCCCACCCAAUAAGAAGACUGAUGGGAGCUCCUUGGAACCUUCAUAGUGUAGCAGCACCUGAGUAAUGAGCCUAGCUGGCAGUGAUACUCAUUUACAGAGUGAGGAUGAUGACGCUAUUUAGCCAGGAAACUCAGAGCACAGUUCUGCCUGAAUCAGAAUCUCAAACAAUGAGCCUCACAGGUCUUGGAGCCUGUUUUGCCAUUCUGCCCAGUCAGGGAAGCUAUUCCAUAGCCCUGCUUACUACUGAGUAUAGCCCCCAGUGCUACCAAAUUAGGAAAUCUGACCAGAGAACCUAGGAAUCUGUGUAGCCCAGCAAUAUCUGAGUGGAGAGCCUGACCAGUGGCCGUGUGCCACUGCAGAACCAAGUUAGCAAGGAGCUUAAUAUGUAGUUCUGCCUCAUUCUGGAUCCCCCAAAAUGAGAUUUUUCAUCUUGGAAGUGUGCUAUACCACACAGGCAAGGAAGAAAAUUCACAGCCUUUUCUGAUAUUGAGUACAAUCUCCAAACCUUUCCAAUUAGGAAACCUGGACAGAACACUGGAAAACUCAAUAGCCAAUAGUACUAAAGCAUAGGUUCAUCCCAGUGGCUAUGUCCACCUGCAGAGCUAAACGGAUAGCCCCAUCUGGCUAGGGACCUUGGUGUGCAGUUCCACCAGGUUUGUUUCACAAACAAUGAGCCUUGCCAACCAUAAUGCCUGUUCGGAGGCCCUGCCAGGACAGAGAAGCUAAUUUGUACCCCUGCCCAUGGUUUAAUAAUGAUUUUAGUCCUGACAAACCAAGAAAUCCAGCCAGAAAAUCUAGCAAGCUGCAUAUCUCAUCUUAUAAUCCCUAUAGGAUGACACUUGACUAGGGAGCCCCACAAAAGACUUGUCCUUAUUCAGAGCAAAGCUGGUGACCCCAUCUGGCCAAGAAAUUUGGUAUAGCAUUCUGCUCAGUUUGGGUCUCUAAAUAAUGAGCCAUGCUGGUCUUAAGACCUAUUAUUCAUCCCUUCCUAGGAAAGGAAGCUAAUUCAUAGCCCUGAUAACUGUUAAGUAUAUUAUCCAGUCUGAUUUGACUAGGAAACCUGACGAAAGAAUCCAGAUAAACUGUGGAAUACAGUCUAUAGUCACACUUGGGUAGAGAGCCAAGCUAGCAGUCUCAUCCAGCUAUCCCCAGCCAGAGCAUCACCUUCAUGAUUUCAGUUAGGCAGGGCUCUCAGCCAAAAAUAGACCGACUUACAGAAUCAAAGAUCACACACACACAAAUCAGGUAAACUUGAUUUCACCAGAGGAAACUAAUAAAUUUUCACUAACUCCCCAUAAAUAAAUGGUGAUCUAUGAACUCUCAGACAAAGAAUUCAGAUAGUCAUUAUUAUGUUAAUUAAUUUAAUGAACUACAAGACAUAACAAUAUUUAUGUUCUGGGAAUUGCAGAAGGAGAUGAGGGAAAGAAAGGGAAAGAAUAUUGAAAACAGUAUAGGCUGAAAACAUCCCAAAGUUAAGGUGAGAAAAGGACAUCUAGAUUCAUGAUGCCCAAAAGAUCCCAAAUAGUUUGAACCUGAGAAGGACUAAACUGAAACACAUAAUUAAACUCAUAAGUCUAAAACAGAGGGAAAAACUUAAAAGCAGCAAGAGAAAAGUGACACAUUACUAACAAGGGAAAUAAGAAUACUAUCAACCAAGAAUACUAUACCCAGCAAAGAAAGUAUCCCUUCAGAGAUGGAAGAGAUACAAUUUUCUCAAACAAAAUCUGAGGGAGUACAUCAUUACUAGAACUGCCUUAUUAGAAAUACUAAAAGGAGUUAUUUAAGUGAACAUAAAAGAAGACCAAAUAAGAGUAUGAACAUAGAUAAAUGUAGGUGUAAACCUCAAUGGUAGUGGCAAAUAUAUAGUCAAAGUCAGGUUCUCUAAUGUUGUAAAAGUGACGGCACUUACAAGUAGAGUUAAAAAGUUUAAAAAAUCAAUGGAAAAUAAUCAUUCUAUAAUAAUUUGUUAUUGGAUACAAAUUGUAGAAAGUAUGUAUGUUGUAACAUCAAUAACCUAAAAUGUAAGGAGGGAAGUAAAAGUGUAAAAUCUAAGAAUGCUAUUGAAGUAAGUCAUUAACAGAUUACAUCAGAGUACUAAAGUAUAAGAUAUUUUUGUAAGUUUUAUGGUAACUACAGGAAAAACCUGUAGUAGAUACCUGUAGUAGAUAAAGAAGUCAAAACAUAUAUCUAAAAAAGUCAUUAAAUCACAAUAGAAGACAGCAAUAUAAGAAGCCAGCAAAAAUGUCUACAAGGAUCUAGAAAACAGUGAACAAAAUGUCAUUAGUAAGUCCUUACUUAUCAAUAACUGCUUUAAAUGUAAACAAAUAAAAUUUUCCAGUUAAAAGAUAGAUAUGUAUUAAAAAAAUAAGAUCCAAUGAUACGCUGCCUAUGAGAGAUCACUUCAGUUUUCAGGAUAUACACAGACUGAAAGUGAAGACAUAGAAAAGGUAUUUUAAGUAAAUGAUUAAAAAAAGAAGAGGAGUUCCUGCUGAGGCACAGUGGGUUUAGAAUAUGACCCCAGAGGUUCAGGUUGCUGCAAAGGUGUGGGUCCAAUCCCUGCCAGCACAGUGGAUUAAAGGAUCCAGCUUUGCUGUAGCUGCAGCUAAGUUUGCAGCUGUGGCUUGGAUUCAAUCCCUGGUCCAGGAACUUCCAUGUACUGUAGGUGUGGUCAUAAAAAGAAAGAGAGAAAGGAAGAAAGAAAGGAAGAAAGAAAGGAAGGAAGGAAGGAAGAAAGGAAGGAAGGAAGAAAGGAAGGAAGAAGGACAGAAAAGGCAGGCUAAUAAUAUAAUAGACUGAACUAAAACUGGUCAAAAGAGACAAAUAAUUUUAUUAUAUAAUGAAAAAAUUGUCAAUCCAUCAAGAAGAUAUAACAAUUAUAAAUACUUAUGCACUCAAUAUCAUAUCAGCUAAAUAUAUAAAGCAAAUAAUAAUAGAACUAAAAGAAGUAAGCAACAAUCUAGUAAUUGCUAGAGAUCUUAGUAUUGCCACUCUAAGCACUGGAUAGGUAAGCCUGACAGAGAAUCAAUAAAAAACAGUGGAUUUGAACAAAACUCAAAGGCAAUUGAACCUAAUAGAUGUAUAUAUAUAUAAAACAGUCCACCCAACAAUGACAGAAUACUUAUUUUUCUCAAGUGCACUUAGAACAUUUCUGGAAAAUUCGUGAAUACAUGGAAAUCAAACAAUACACUCCUGAACAAUGAAUGAAUCAAAGGAUAAAUUGAAAGGGAAACUAUUUUAAAUGAAAAUAGAAACAUAACGUACAAAACUUAUGUGAUGGGCUAUGAGCUGUGGUAUAGGUCGCAGACGUGGCUCAGAUCCCACAUUGCUGUGGCUCUGGCGUAGGCCAGCGGCUACAGCUCCAAUUCCACCCCUAGCCUGAGAACCUCCAUAUGCCAUGCGUGCAACCCUAGGGAAAAAAAAAAAAAAAACUUAAGUGAUGCAGCAAAGAUGUUCUAAGAGAGAAAUUUAUAGCUAUAAAUGCAAACAACAAGAAAAUAGAAAGGUAUCAAAUAAAUAACCUAACUUCACACCUAAAGUAACUAAAAAAAGAAGGACAAAGUCCAAAGUUAGUAGAAGGAAGGCCAUAAUAAAGAUAAAAGCAGAAAUAAAUAAAAUAGAGAUCAGGAAACUAUAAAAAAAAUGAACAAAACUAAGUGGUUCUUUGUAAAACAAAACUGACUAAACUUUAGCUAGACUAACCAAGAACAAAAGAGGACCCAAAUAAAUAAUAAUUAUAAACAAAAGGGAGACAUUAUAGUUAAUGCCACACAAAUACAAAGGAUGAUAAGAGACUACUAUGAGCACCUGUAUAACAACAAACUGGACAACCUAGAAGAUAUAGAUAAAUUCCUAGAAACAUACAGCCUAGCAAAACUGAAUCAGGAAGAAAUAAAAACUCUGAAUAGACUAAUCAUUAGUAACAAUAUUGAAUCAGUAAUCAAAAACCUCUCAACAGGAGUUCCCAUUGUGGUACAGUGGAAACAAAUCCUAACAGUUUCCUUGCAGAUGAGGGUACCAUCCCAGGCUUAGCUCAGUGGGCCGGGAAUUGGCGUUGCUGUGAGUUGUGGUGUAGGCAGACGCAGCGUGGAUCCUGCAUUACUGAGCCUGUGGCAUCGGCUGACAGCUAUAACUCCAAUUCGACCCCUAGCCUGGGACCCUCCACAUGCUACAGGUGAAAAUUACAGGCCAAUUUCCCUGAUGAAUAUAGAUUCAAACAUUCUUAAGAAAAUACUAGCAAGUUAAAGUCAGCACAUUAAAUGGAUUAUACAUCAUGAGCAAGUGGAAUUUAUCCUUGGAAUGGCAGAAUAUCUCAAUAUAUGCAAAUAAAUCAAUAUGAUACAUCACAUUAACCUAGUUAAAAAUAAAAAUUAUAUGAACAUAUCAAUAGAAUCAGAAAAAGCAUUAAGGGAGUUCCCAUUGUGGCUCAGUGGUUAACAAAACUGGCUGGUAUCCAUGAGGACAUGGGUUCAAUCCCUGGCCUUAUUCAAUGGGUCAGGGAUCCAGCAUUUCUGUGAGCUGCAGUGCAGGUUGCAGACAGGGCUUAGAUCCUGCAUUGUUGUGGCUGUGGCUGUGGCCAGUGGCUACAGUUCCGAUUCAACCCCUAGCCUGGGAA
rnacentral:lncRNA from 1 species